rnacentral:rRNA from 1 species
UGGGGAAUAUUGCACAAUGGGGAAACCCUGAUGCAGCGACGCCGCGUGAAGGAAGAAGUAUCUCGGUAUGUAAACUUCUAUCAGCAGGGAAGAAAAUGACGGUACCUGACUAAGAAGCCCCGGCUAACUACGUGCCAGCAGCCGCGGUAAUACGUAGGGGGCAAGCGUUAUCCGGAUUUACUGGGUGUAAAGGGAGCGUAGACGGAGCAGCAAGUCUGAUGUGAAAGGCAGGGGCUCAACCCCUGGACUGCAUUGGAAACUGUUGAUCUUGAGUACCGGAGGGGUAAGCGGAAUUCCUAGUGUAGCGGUGGAAUGCGUAGAUAUCGGGAGGAACACCAGUGGCGAAGGCGGCCUACUGGGCACCAACUGACGCUGAGGCUCGAAAGUAUGGGCAGCAAACAGGAUUAGAUACC